AAAACAUCUCUUAUUGAGUAAAAUAUUAAGUUGACUCUGCCCAAUGAAAUUUAAAUGGCUGCAGUAUAUUGACUGUACAAAGGUAGCAUAAUAAUUUGUUUUUUAAAUGAAAACUAGAAUGAAAGAGGUGAUGAAAUAUAAACUUUUUUUAAGUAAUAGAUUGAAUUUAAUUUUUAAUUUAAAAAGUUUAAAUUUAAUUAAGGGACGAGAAGACCCUAUAAAAUUUUACAAUAUAAAUUUUUUAUUAUAAUUAUAAAAUAAAUUUUGUUUAUUUGGGAGGAAUGUUAAAAUUAUAAACUUUAAUAAAUAUUUACAUAAAUUUAUGGUUUAAAGGAUUUUAAAUUAAGUUAAAUAUUAAAUUAAAUUACUUUAGGGAUAACAGCGUAAUAUUUUUUGAUAGUUCAUAUUAAAAAAAAUGUUU
rnacentral:rRNA from 1 species